AACGGGAGCUAAACUACCUAGCUAGACUACCGGGCCACAUGGCCGUUUAUUCUGCUAACUGAAGAAUGCUAUCCUAUCUACCGAAACAGGGUAGUGGAAUUACAGGUUCAAUAGGUAGGGCGGAGGCUCCAACGGACUCUAGUGUGGCGAGGUGGUCGGGCCAGUACGGCUCGACGGGGGCGGCCGAACGGUGGUGACGAGCGGAUGGAGCGGACGAAGGCGGCAAAGUCCGAGUGAUUCGGCGAACUCCGGGGAAUCAAGGUCGGACGGGACCCUGCUUCGGCGAUCCUAGGGAAAAACACCGGUGUCACAGAGGUGACCAAGGACGAGGGGGUCCGAUUUCUCGAAGAAAAAAAGGCAGGGAAGAUUCACCGACGACGUGGCACUCUGGCAAAGGACCAGGUUCCGGCGAGAUGUGAACGGUGACGGCAGUGGCUGUGAGCGGCAAGAGGAGGAGCAGAUCGGCUGAAUGGAACGAGGGGUUCGAGGGGCUUAUAUAGGCUCGGCUACGGAGGCUGAGCGUUGCAGAUAGGCUCUAU
rnacentral:lncRNA from 1 species